GUUCUCUUUGGCAGGACAUAUACUAGUGACACAGAGAUUAGCAUGGUCACUGUGCAAGAAUGACACACAAAUUCGUGAAGCAUUCCAUAUUUUC
rnacentral:snRNA from 1 species